rnacentral:tRNA from 1 species
GGGGGCAUAGGCUAGUAGGAAACUGGACGGCUCCAGACCGUCAGUCGGGGGUGCAAAUCCCUCUGUCCCCA